AUUUUUGAGAGUUUGAUCCUGGCUCAGAACGAACGCUGGCGGCGCGCUUAACACAUGCAAGUCGAACGAGAAGCCGUAGCAAUACGGUUGUAAAGUGGCAGACGGGUGAGUAACGCAUGGGUAACCUACCCUCAGGUGGGGAAUAACUCCUCGAAAGGGGAGCUAAUGCCGACGAUACCCACCAGCCUCAUAAGAGGUUGUUGGAAAGCCGAACCGAGGGUUCGGCGCCUGAGGAUGGGCUCAUGUCCUAUCAGCUUGUUGGCGGGGUAAUGGCCCACCAAGGCUGCGACGGGUAGCUGGUCUGAGAGGACGACCAGCCACACUGGCACUGCGACACGGGCCAGACUCCUACGGGAGGCAGCAGUGAGGAAUCUUGCGCAAUGGGCGAAAGCCUGACGCAGCGACGCCGCGUGGGGGAUGAAGGCCUUCGGGUUGUAAACCCCUUUCAGGAGGGAAGAUGGGACGGGCAACCGUUCGGACGGUACCUUCAGAAGCAGCCACGGCUAACUCUGUGCCAGCAGCCGCGGUAAGACAGAGGUGGCAAGCGUUGUUCGGAUUUACUGGGCGUAAAGGGUGCGUAGGUGGUUAGGUAAGACCUGCGGGAAAGACCUGGGCUUAACCCAGGAAGGUCGUAGGUGACUGCCUGGCUAGAGGGCGGGAGAGGAGAGCGGAAUUCCCGGUGUAGCGGUGAAAUGCGUAGAGAUCG
rnacentral:rRNA from 1 species